rnacentral:rRNA from 1 species
AGAUGGCGACCGGCGCACGGGUGAGUAACACGUAUCCAACCUGCCGAUAACUCGGGGAUAGCCUUUCGAAAGAAAGAUUAAUACCCGAUGGUAUAAUCAGACCGCAUGGUUUGAUUAUUAAAGAAUUUCGGUUAUCGAUGGGGAUGCGUUCCAUUAGGCAGUUGGUGAGGUAACGGCUCACCAAACCUUCGAUGGAUAGGGGUUCUGAGAGGAAGGUCCCCCACAUUGGAACUGAGACACGGACCAA